UAUGUAAGAGAGAGUGGAAUAGAUGAAAUUGUUAGUACCCAACAACAUCCAUCCAUCCAUUGUUUUCACUUGUCAAUUGAAUCAACAUUUAUUUUGCAUGUUAAUAUUUUUGCUCUCAAACCCAAUUUAUAAAUUUUAUAUUUCUCAAGUCAUAUUAUUUUAAUUCACGCGAACGAGGAAGCCAUACGAGUCUCUUGGGAAAACGAUACUUGGUCUUACCAUUUAUAUUACUUGUAUGAUUUGGUACACUUGCCAAUCCGUCAACAGCAGAAACCCACCCGACGUCCCACUUUAGCGC
rnacentral:lncRNA from 1 species